rnacentral:rRNA from 1 species
CUCCUACGGGAGGCAGCAGUGAGGAAUAUUGGUCAAUGGACGAGAGUCUGAACCAGCCAAGUCGUCGUGAAGGAAGACGGAUCUAUGGUUUGUAAACUUCUUUAGUGCGGGAACAAAGCGGUGUCGUGACGCCGGAUGAGUGUACCGCAAGAAUAAGCAUCGGCUAACUCCGUGCCAGCAGCCGCGGUAAUACGGAGGAUGCGAGCGUUAUCCGGAUUUAUUGGGUUUAAAGGGAGCGCAGGCUGCGAGGCAAGUCAGCGGUCAAAUGUCGGGGCUCAACCCCGGCCUGCCGUUGAAACUGUUUUGCUAGAGUUCGAGUGAGGUAUGCGGAAUGCGUUGUGUAGCGGUGAAAUGCAUAGAUAUGACGCAGAACUCCGAUUGCGAAGGCAGCAUACCAACUCGCGACUGACGCUGAGGCUCGAAAGCGUGGGUAUCGAACAGGAUUAGAUACCCUGGUAGUCCACGCAGUAAACGAUGAAUACUAACUGUUCGGAGGGCGACCUCUGAGUGGUAAAGCGAAAGCGUUAAGUAUUCCACCUGGGGAGUACGCCGGCAACGGUGAAACUCAAAGGAAUUGACGGGGGCCCGCACAAACGGAGGAACAUGUGGUUUAAUUCGAUGAUACGCGAGGAACCUUACCCGGGCUCAAACGUCGGGCGAAUCAUCCUGAAAGGGGUGAGCCAGCAAUGGUGGCCGACGAGGUGCUGCAUGGUUGUCGUCAGCUCGUGCCGUGAGGUGUCGGCUUAAGUGCCAUAACGAGCGCAACCCCCGCGUCCAGUUGCCAGCGAGUAGAGUCGGGCACUCUGGACGGACUGCCGGCGCAAGCCGCGAGGAAGGCGGGGAUGACGUCAAAUCAGCACGGCCCUUACGUCCGGGGCGACACACGUGUUACAAUGGCGUGGAACAGAGGGAAGCCACUUGGCGACAGGGAGCGGAACCCGAAAACACGUCUCAGUUCGGAUUGGAGUCUGCAACUCGACUCCAUGAAGCUGGAUUCGCUAGUAAUCGCGCAUCAGCCAUGGCGCGGUGAAUACGUUCCCGGGCCUUGUACACACCGC